UUAAGUAAAUAAAUUUUAAGUGUGUUUUCUGUUGCUGUAUUUACUAUGAAUACCCAGAAACUUUAUAAAAUGUAGAAGUGUAUUUAGUUCCUGAUGCUAUAGGCUGUGAUGUCCAAGGGUGGAAUUUGGUCCCUGGGGAUGGUCUGGUAUCACAUCCCUUCUGAGAACACUACACUCUGAGACAGUUCAAGCCUGGUAGCUCAGGUCCCUCUCUCUUCUCACAAAGAUGUUAAAGCCAGCAUUUGGCAUCCAAACCACCACAGCCCACUGCCACCAGAAACUGGGGAUAAAUUUCUAACAUGUGAACUUGUAAGGAAGACAUCCACAUCACCAAGCCUCUGCCUCUGUUGGGAUCUUUUACAUCAUGCAUGCCUUCAAAUCCAACCCAUCUUCCCCACCAUCAAAAUAAAACAAAAUUGAAGAAAAAAGGAAGGAAAUAAGAAAGGAAAAUCCAGUCCUGCGAGCUCUUGUGUGACACAGUGAGCCGUAACCCCUUUAUCCAUACAAUGUUGCAAGCGUGUGUUCAUUGCAAGGAAUCUCUAGUCUAGUUCAAGGUCCCAGGUCUCAGCUUCACCAUUGACACUGGCUCAUCAUCCUGUUGUUGCGUCCUAGAAAUCCUGAAGCCCUGGGUCUGCAGGAACACCCAGUCACUCUCCCGUGCUCCAGAAGGUCACAGAUGGGGUGAACAUUCCGGAGGGCCAGCACAACCCUGGUUCUGGGCCUGUGUAAUUGCGGGGUUGGAAGACAGCUCUUCCUCGUCUUCACCACCAGAGGGAGCUCUCCAGCACUGUCCUUGCUAUUUCGCCCCUUGCAGCAAUGAGCAAGGAGAGUGGGGCAGUUCUCCUGGUUUGAAGUCCUCAGGGUCAGUUCACCUACACCUGCAUCUUCAGGUCCAGUUCUGCUGUGUUGCCCAGCUAACAGUUCUUGCUAAAUAGCUGAAGAACUUUGACCCAGAACCUGGUAUUUGUACUGACCCUGAGAAUGGCUUGGAGCUUCAAUGGGAUCCCCAAAACCAAAUGUACUUACAGGGACUUGGGACUUGUGGAGAGCCUAUCGGGACAAUGUAGAAGCCAAUUACCCAAACUCAGACAGAUACUUUUCUGCUCGGGGAAAUUUUGAGGCUCAACAGAGGGGAGCUGGAGGCAUUUGGGCUGCUAAAAUAAUCAGCACCAGCAAGAAAUACUUUCAAGGCCUCCUAAACCGGUAUUAUUUUGGAAUGAGAAACCAUGGACUGGAAAGUCCAGAGUCUACCCAGAAUAAUGAGUAAUGGGACCAAAGUGCCAGAACCCCAAUUCCUUUAGACAACACUGCCUGCCUAAGAAGUUCUGAGCCUGCUACACAGUCUGCACUGAGGGCAUAAGGCUGUAAACCAUAUCCCACUCCCCUUGAUAGAUGUCUUUGGCCUUAGUAACCACAAGAACCAUAGAGAAGCUAGAAAUGGCCAACAAAUACAUUGCGGAUGGAAAUUGUUGAUGGAAAUUGGGAACUCUCAGAAAUAUUUUCUGCAAAGAAUUGCUAUGUAUCAUUACAUAGAAAAUAAGUAGAAAAUACAUUUAUAAAACAUCCACGAACAAAAAUGUCUGUAUUGCUGUAUGCCAUCUUUGUACCCACAUCAGCUGUUUCACCUCUUUCAAGAGUGGAUGUUCUCCAAACAUGAGCUGAAAGAUGACAAUGAAAUCAUCUGUAUUCUAAAGCCAUGAAAAAAAAAAAACAACUUCAAUUCGCAAUCUCAGAGAACAUAGAAAACAAAGAGGACCCUA